UUCACACUCGCUCCUAGAUAUAGGAGAGCUUAUUCGAUGUGAAGGUCUCUUAUAAUGCAAGAAAUGGUAGGGGUAUCUGGAUCUUUAAGCUUUGGAGGGGUAGCGUGCUGGAAUACAGAGCUAGCUUGUUCGGUGAGGCAUACUUUCUUCGGGAGUUGUGAUCGAGAUUUACGUUUCUGGAUGCACAAUUCUUUCAAAAAUUUUGCGUAAGCUAGGACAUGUUUGAUUGCAUCUAGAAGGGGGAGAUUAAUUUGGACUUGCUUAAAUAAUUCCAACAUCUCAUCAAGUCUUCUUCCUUUCUUAUCCACAAGAGUGGGGGCUUUUAGGGCACUUGAAAAUGGGGCUUUAGGCAAGUACGGUGAUUCCGGUGCAGUUGGUCCUUUUUCUACUUUUGUGUCCUCCUUACUCUUAGGUGAUUUGGGCUGGGGCUUUUAGGGCACUUGAAAAUGGGGCUUUAGGCAAGUCAGGUGAUUCCGGUGCAGUUGGUCCUUUUUCUACUUUUGUGUCCUCCUUGCUCUUAGGUGAUUUAGGCUUAGAGGUCUAGGGUCGGUCUCAUUGAUUUUACUCGUGUGUUCAAUGACCUUUCCAUUUUUGAGAGUCAUGAUUGAUUUGGCUUGUUCAGAAAAGGUAUCUGGAGUAUUGGAGCUCUCAACCAUGAAUUGUCCUCUCGGAUUGCUCUCAGUUUGGCUAGGUAAUUUUUCUCUCCUACUGAUUGCGGUUGCUAGUUGACCUAUUUGGGUCUCUAGCUUAGCAAUGGAUUGCGUGUGAGAGUUAAGGGUCUGGGUGUUGACUUCUAAU
rnacentral:lncRNA from 1 species